AGCGGCGGACGGGUGAGUAACGCGUGAGCGACCAACCUUGCACAGGGGGAUAACGGACCGAAAGGUUCACUAAUACCGCAUGAGACCACGGUGUUGCAUGACACAGGGGUCAAAGGAGCAAUCCGGUGCAAGACGGGCUCGCGUCCGAUUAGGUAGUUGGAGGGGUAACGGCCCACCAAGCCUAUGAUCGGUAGCCGACCUGAGAGGGUGAUCGGCCACAUUGGAACUGAGAUACGGUCCAAACUCCUACGGGAGGCAGCAGUGGGGAAUAUUGGGCAAUGGGGGAAACCCUGACCCAGCAACGCCGCGUGAAGGAAGAAGGUUUUCGGAUUGUAAACUUCUGUCCUUGGUGAAGAGAAGAAGACGGUAGCCAAGGAGGAAGCCCCGGCUAACUACGUGCCAGCAGCCGCGGUAAUACGUAGGGGGCAAGCGUUGUCCGGAAUGAUUGGGCGUAAAGGGCGCGUAGGCGGCUUUAUAAGUCUGGAGUGAAAGUCCUCUUUUCAAGGGAGGAAUUGCUUUGGAAACUAUAGAGCUUGAGUGCAGGAGAGGUUAUCGGAAUUCCCGGUGUAGCGGUGAAAUGCGUAGAUAUCGGGAGGAACAUCGGUGGCGAAGGCGGGUAACUGGACUGCAACUGACGCUGAGGCGCGAAAGUGUGGGGAGCAAACAGGAUUAGAUACCCUGGUAGUCCACACG
rnacentral:rRNA from 1 species